AACGAGAGUCAGAGGUUCGAAGGCCAUUGAUACCGCCCUAGUUCUGACCGUAAACGAUGCCGACUAUCAAUCCGCCAGUGGCCCUCGGUCAUKGGCGGGCGGAUCGACGGAAACGAAAGUUUUUCAGGUUCCGGGGGAAGUAUGGUUGCAAAGCUGAAACUUAAAGGAAUUGACGGAAGGGCACCACCAGGAGUGGAGCUUGCGGCUUAAUUUGACUCAACACGGGAAACCUCACCCGGCCAGUACAUCACAAGGAUUGACAGAUUGAAAGCUCUUUCAUGAUUUGAUGAAUGGUGGUGCAUGGCCGUUCUUAGUUCGUGGCGUGAGUCGUCUGCUUAAUUGCGAUAACGAGCGAGACUCCGACUGUUAACUACCCCYYGGAUUCUCGCGUCCUCGCGGGUUCUUAACUGGAUUCAAUGCUUCAAGCAUUAAGAAAUGGAGCAAUAACAGGUCUGUGAUGCCCUUAGAUGUUCGGGGCCGCACGCGUGCUACAAUGAUGGUAACAGCGUGAUUGUCCUCGCCCGACAGGGCUUGGCAAACAGUUGAGAUAUUAUUAUGGCUGGAAUUGAGUGUUGAAAUUUUCUCUCAUGAACGAGGAAUUCCAAGUAAAUGCGAGUCAUCAACUUGCAUUGAUUACGUCCCUGCCCUUUGUACACACCGCCCGUCGCUACCCGGGACUGAGUUAUUUCGAGAAAUUCACGGACCGCCAGUUGUCUAGCAGUAGACUUCCAAUGUAAAGUAAAUUAAUCGCAUUGGCUCGAACAGGGUAA
rnacentral:rRNA from 1 species